AUGAACUAGAAGAAGAAUGAAUUUGUUACUCAAUUAAGUACACUCUGAACAUAUCUGGGGUGGGGGGUGGACAGGGAAUCAAAACUCUCUUCCGCUUUCACAUCUUAGAGAGCAGGAUGAGGGGCGAGGCCUCAGACCUGGGUUUCCUCAAGUGUUGGAUUCGAGGCCCUCGCCGGGAAGUCAGGUGGUGGCUGCAGGCAGCUCAGACCGCGCCACACGAACGCCAGAAGCGGAGAGACUCUGGCAGGAACCGAAUGAGGAAACGCGAGGCCUUCUUGUCUCCCGAGACGAAGCUGGACUCUUCGCGGCUUCGGGGACGUGCAAGGACUCACUUUCCCUUCCUUCCGAAGCCACCCAACGGCGCCGCUCGGGAACAGCGCAGGCCUCACGCUGGGCCCUGAGCGCAAACCCGGGAAGAGCCCGGAUGCUGCUCCUUUCCCGCCUUGCGCCGGCUGGGGUCCGUACAGAGGCGCGACGGCUUCAGGCCAGGAAGGGCCCGGAUGCUGCUCCCUUCGUGCUCUGCGUGGGGCCCAGGAAACUGGAGAAACGGAGCGGCGGCGUUGGGUCAAGAACUCAGAGGGAGAAGGCUGGGAAACCAAGGGAAGAAAGCUUUCCUGAUCUAGGCUUCGGAGCUCGCCUGCAUCCCCGCAGGGCCGCGGCAUCUUCUCCAGCAGUUGCCCCGGCCGGGCCGCGCGCUCUCCGCCGCCCCGGCAGAGCCCCGCCGGCAGCCGCUGCCAGAGCGACUCAAUCGCCCGAACCGACCUCUUCCCAAGCCUUGGACAGCUGCCCCUUUUCUGCAAUCGAAGGUCAGCCGUAUCUGAUGGCUGGUGUUGUUAAAAAUAAGGCACUAAAACGCUGAGGAUUCCAGCUUAGCUCUUCAAACACUGACAACCAUUGAUGUCCCUUUGGGCAACAAGUUCUGCUGAGAUCAGUAGGAUCCCAUGGCGAUGAGAUGAAGGAGAAUGUGGAAAGUUGUAUUGCAAGGAAACUGUUAAUCGUUUGGGCUUGGUGGGGCGAACGUGUGUUAGGUAAUGAGUCAGUCUUGGAAAAAAAUUAAGAAAUAUGAGUCAGAACAAUUUAGGAGGUAUGCUGCACUACAAACUACCCAGAAAAAGCAAACACAUUUUUUAAAGUUUCAGAGUUAGAACCCCUCCUGGAAUGUCCCUUGCAUAUUGAAGCCCUUUCUAGAUGAUACUUCUUGACAAUUUAAUGGAGGUUGAACUUGUGUGUAGGCAGCUCCUCUUUCAUUUGUUCUUUCCCAUCUAAGUUUAAAAAUAAAAAUAUAUGUGUGUGUUAAACUUUACCUGCCCUCUAGAUUUCUAUUUUAUAUUUUAAGAACAUGUGUCUUUAAACGUAAGUAACACAUUUUAUUAUUCAAAGAUAGCAGAAGUAUUCGACUCAGAUUGUUUCAAAGAUUUGGUAGUCUCAAAGUCAAGUACUUGGCUGAGUGAGUGGUCAGUAAAACAGAAAUAGAAAAAAUAAAUCAUAUCUAGCCUGAAACAAAUUGCGUAGAAUAAAUCAGGGAGGGACAAAAUCGAAUCAGGAUUUUAUAAUUUAAACAUGCACUGGACUCAGGUUCUAAGCUGCCCUGUUUUUUUGUUUAGGAAGUAAGAGUAUGGAUACUGACUGUGCUCUCAGUCAAACCAAUACACCUCUGGGUGCCUUUUCCUGAUCCAUAGAGUAAGAGAUUAGGGAUAUGGAUCCCAUUCAAGUCUGGUCAUUUAGGCACAAGGAGUCCUAAGGCAGAAUUUUUGUGUGUUGUCAGAAAUGCAGGCACAAAGGAGACUUAUCUAAGGCAGAGGGUCACCAAAGUUGCCCAGUGACUAGCUUAUCCUGUAGUGGCAUGCUAAUGUGUGUUCUUGUAUGUACUGAAAAAGCCAUAGCGUUUCUAAGUGUGAGAGAGGUAUUUUACAGCCCCAUCCAAUCAAUAUAAAGAAAGAUGCUGUUCAUGCACUAAUUUCAGAGUUUUUAAGCAGAGAGGUUGCCUGUCUCUCAAAAUAAAUUAAAGCUUGAAAUGCCUACUUUAAGAAUGAUUAUUCUUAAGGAGGAAACACAAACAGCAGUGACCAUUUUUCACAGACGUGCUCAGCCAUCAGGAAAGCUUAAUAAAUCCCUAUUUAGUAUGCAUUUAUGCAGUGAUUACAUGAACUUUGACCUCUGAAGAGCUGUAGCAAUUAGCUUCAGUGUCUAGCAUCUUCUACUCACCAUUCCCCACUGGCUUCCUUGGGUCUUCCUUUUUCAUCUCUCAAUAGCUCAUGCAUUAGGAACGCGUAAAAUUUUAAAGUUGACUUUCCACCUGAGGUAUUUGCUUCUGUGCAAGCCAAUUCUCCCUCCCCCCUUUCCCACUCCUGUCUCAACAGCCAUCUCAGAUUGAUAUUGGGGCUCUGAUUGUCAAUAUUACUCAAACACAAAUGGAUUUCAAUUCAAUCUUGCUCUGUACUUUCACAAAGAUAAACUCUAAUGGUCCAAAGAGCUUCAUUUCAUAGCUCGUGGCAUCUGAAAUAAAUCAGAUCUUUUCUGUCAGACUAAUUUAACAUUUUAAAAAUAUUUGAUGUAAUUUAUUUAAAGUCAAAUGAAACCUAAUAGAUUAGCAGAAAACUAGAAGAGGGGGCAGAAAGGGCAGCUGGACGCUUCCAAAAAAAGAAGAAACAAGGAAGAAAAGAAAAGAACCAGGAGGGGAGAGGAAAGUGUUUUAAGUUUCUAGUAAACAUUGUUUAGCAAAAGAAUAAUAGGAAAGUUUCCCCUUUACCAAAGAGGGAUGGAACUAUAAUUGUUGCCUUUAACUGAGAGCUCAGAUAAACUGCUGGGACUCAUUCUAAAGUGACCCAUCACUGCAUUCAUCUCUUCUUGAACUUUCGGUGAACCUGAGAUUAAACAGGGGUGAGCAGCUAAGCAGUUUGUUGUUAGCAGCCUUUUCAACAACCCUUUCAGACUGAGUAAAUAUUGAUCGGGUAGAAUCUGAUUGCCCCUGAGGAAAACACCACCGCAUUUGAAUAGCCUCCAAAAGUAAACUUUCAAAGGUGAAACUCAGAGCAGACUUCAGAGCCAAAGCAAGACCUCCACUCAGCCUAGUUUGGGGACACUCAGUAUUUGGGGAGUACUUUGGAUAAAUGUAGAGGAAGCGAGGAAAAAACGUUAGAAAACUAGAAUUUUAUAUCACAAUUAUCCCAAGUGCCUAAUUGAGACCCUUGUUUUCUUUUUAAAUGUAUCAAUAAAAUGUUAUUUUCAGUUUUCCCACUGUGUGUUGUUUCAGUUACCAUCGCUGUCAUUUUUCAAGUAGCUAACUGUGCUCAGAGACUGAAGCAGAAAAAGAGAGACCUUGAAAUAGGAUGUGUUAAGCGCCUUUGAUUUAAUCGAUUGGGACAGCUAAAAAGAUACAAAUGUUUUCCUUGUUGAAAGGUGUAUUAAUGUUUCCUAAAUGCAUUGCUUGUUAACUGAUUUAUUCCAUGAUCUAGAGAAAGCUAGAGAUGGUUAGCCAUAAUUUACUGUUCUCUCUCUCUCUGCUGCAUUAAAAUCACCUUAAAGACCGGAAUCUCCGGGAUUCCAGUGUGCCCUGCUUUUAGAUAUUGAAAUGGAGCCAGUGGCAUGCAAAUGACACUUUAACACAUUAAAGUAUUUGGAAACCAGCCAUCUGUUUUGCUGUGUGGCCUUACACUAAUAAACAAAAGAUACAGUAUAAGGCCAAGCAGGAAAUGAAAGAAAGGAUUGACCGUCUUUGAAGUUCU
ensembl:lncRNA